UACGUAGGGUGCAAGCGUUGUUCGGAAUUACUGGGCGUAAAGCGCGCGUAGGCGGGUUUGAAAGUCGAUUGUGAAAUCCCUAGGCUUAACCUGGGAAUGGCAGUCGAAACUUCAAAUCUUGAAUGUCUGAGAGGAUGGCGGAAUAACCGGUGUAGUAGUGAAAUACGUAGAUAUCGGUUAGAACACCUGAGGCGAAGGCGGCUAUCUGGCGGUACAUUGACGCUAAGGCGCGAAAGCGUGGGGAGCAAACAGG
rnacentral:rRNA from 1 species